AGUCUCUCUCUUGAGCUACAGUGCUGCAUCAUCAACUGCCUAUUGGACUCCUCAAUCUAGAUAUUUUUUUGUUCCUGAAUUGAAGAACACAGGACUACAAGCAAGAGUGACAGCAGACAAGAGUGGCAUGCUGACCAGAUGACGAAGGACACGCAGAGUUUCUACAAUCAACAUCAAAGGACAUGGAAGGACUUUGAAAGUUUGGACUUGUGAUCAUGAAGUUAUGAGGAUGAAUGAGAAGAGUAUCUGAGCAAUCAGCAAAGUCAUCAGCACUACUAGAAAAAUAGCAACUUCGACAAAUUCGCCUGACAGUAAGUCCUGGACAACCUUUAUAUAUUAAGCUCCCCAUUGUUUGCACCAAAAUAUCCUCAGCAAUUACCAACCAGCCUACCUCAUGCAGAGACACUUGUCACCAGGAAGUUAGCCAAUGGAUGGACUUUGGGAGCUGAAAGGUGUGGAGAGAAAGAUGAUAACAGAUCUCAAAAACCAUCUACCAAGUACUGCAAAGAAUAGAAUAUAACAAAAAUGGACCUAAACUGCAGCAAGAGAGCUACAGGCUUUGCUUUAUUACUCAAAAUGAUUACUACGAAGGGGUGACAACUACAGACCUACUCACCACUGACACCAGAGAGAGAGACAAAGGCAGAAUCAAUUUACAGCCUCAACCUGAACUAGUCCACAAGAAGUUAAUUUCCCCUGGACAGCUCCUUUCAAUCUCUUUAUGUCCAUCACCACCACUCCCAUUUUUUUGUCCUGAGGCACUCCAAGUAGUAACCAGUGUCAGUAUUCACUCUGGGUGAACAAGACAUUAUUUCCUUAAUAACUUCCAUCUUGUGGGACUUAGAGCUGGGGAGAACCUUGGAGGUCAUUGAGCCCAAACCCUUUAUUUUAUAGAUGGGGAAAGCAGAGAAGUAGUGAUUGACUUAAGAGUCACACAACCUGGGAGUGCUUGAGGUGGAAUUCAAACCCAGGUCUUCCUGAUUCCUCAUAAUACAAAAAAGAUCUAUGAUCUCAGCUGAGUGACCUCCUUCACCAACAGAGGAGAAUCUCUAUAUGACUUAGCCAACACCCAAGGUGCAUAAAAGUGAAAUGACUUGUUCAGGGUCACAUCUAGUACAUGUCAGAGGUGGGGUUUUGUACUCAGUUCUUCCUAAUUGCUUCUAGGCACUCUAAUCAUGCUGCAUCAAGACAUAUAGCAGAUGUCUAAUAAAUAUUGAUGAGUUGAUUACUAUGUUCUCA
rnacentral:lncRNA from 1 species